rnacentral:rRNA from 1 species
GACGAACCGUGCGAACGUUAUUCGGAAUCAUUGGGCUUAAAGGGCGCGUAGGCGGCGGUGUAAGUUGGAAGUGAAAUCCCAUCGGCUCAACCGUGGAAUUGCUCCCAGUACUGCACUGCUCGAGGGGGAUAGGGGUCUGCGGAACUACCGGUGGAGCGGUGAAAUGUGUUGAUAUCGGUGGGAACGCCAGUGGCGAAAGCGGACAGCUUGACCCUUCCUGACGCUGCAGCGCGAAAGCUAGGGGAGCAAACGGGG